UUAAAAUGCUUUGUAUAUAUAGGAAAUUAUGUCGGGAACAGGAUCUAUUGUCCUAAAUUCAAUUGGAACAUUAAUAGUUCUUUACUUGUAACAUGAGGGUGUUUGUUGUGACGUUGGUCCUUUUAUUUGUCCUGGUUGAAACCUUUGGAGUCCCUAUUGCUAAGUCGGAUCAAGCAUCUUCCAGCCUCAUGAAGAAUUUUUCUGAUUAUAUUAAAGAGUGUUUUGGAAUAACUAUACAAAUACAAACCACAGCUGCUACGACGACCACAACAGCUGGAAGUUAAUGCCCACAGGAUAACAGCAUAUAUUGUAAUUUACUUUUGUCUUGUAUUAAUAAAACUAUAUUUUGGAAUGA